GAUGAACGCUGGCGGCGUGGAUAAGGCAUGCAAGUCGAACGCUCCGAUUUCGGUCGGAGAGUGGCAAACGGGUUAGUAACACGUAACUAUCUGCCCGAUACUCAGGCAUAACUUAGAGAAAUCUAAGCUAAUUCCUGAUAGUCCCUGCUUCGGUAGGGUAAAGGCGCAAGCCGGUAUCGGAUGAGGUUGCGGCCUAUCAGCUUGUUGGUGAGGUAAUAGCUCACCAAGGCUAUGACGGGUAGGGGGUGUGAGAGCAUGGCCCCCAACAAGGGCACUGAGACACGGGCCUUACUCCUACGGGAGGCAGCAGUCGAGAAUCUUCCGCAAUGGGCGAAAGCCUGACGGAGCGACGCCGCGUGCUUGAAGAAGCCUUAAGGUGUAAAGAGCUUUUCUGGAGGAAUAACCCCGUUUUCUAAGCUUGUGGAGAGCAGUUGGAGUAGACAAAUUUAAUAAUUUGUGUUUUCCUCUAACUUGUAUUUCAACGGGCAUAGAAAGCGGGGUGAAGGUACUCCAGGAAUAAGGAGCCUCUAAACUCGUGCCAGCAGAGGCGGUAAUACGAGUGCUCCAAGCGUUAUCCGGAUUCACUGGGCGUAAAGCGUCUGUAGGCGGUCAGAAAAGUUUUUGGUUAAAGACUCAGGGCUUAACCUUGAGAAUGCCAAAAAUACUCUUUGACUAGAGGGUGCCAGGGGUUGUUGGAACCGACGGUGUAGGGGUGAAAUCCGUUGAUAUCGUCGGGAACACCAAAAGCGAAGGCAUUCAACUGGGGCAACCCUGACGCUGAGAGACGAAAGCGUGGGGAGCAAAAAGGAUUAGAUACCCUUGUAGUCCACGCCGUAAACGAUGGACACUGGCUAUUGUAAGUGUCGACCCUUGCAGUGGCGAAGCUAACGCGUUAAGUGUCCCGCCUGGGAAGUACAACGGCAACGUUGAAACUCAAAGGAAUAGACGGGGAUCCACACAAGCGGUGGACCAUGUGGCUUAAUUCGACAACAAGCGAGGAACCUUACCAGGACUUGACAGACUAGUGAAACCCUGAUGAAAGUUAGGGCCACCACAAGGACACUAGUCCAGGUGCUGCAUGGUUGUCGUCAGCAGGUGGCUUGAGUUGCUCCCUUAAAUGGGGUAACCUGCGCAACCCCUACUUCUAUGUUUUAAUUGUCAUAGAGAACUGCCCGAGACAAUCGGGAGGAAGGCGGGGAUGACGCCAAAUCAGCAUGGCCCUUUGAUGUCCUGGGCUGCACACGUGGUACAAUGGGGCCGACAACGAGUUGUGAAGCGGUAACGUGGAACCAAUCUCUUAAACGGUCUCUCAGUUCGGAUUGAGGUCUGCAAUUUGACCUCAUGAAGCCGGAAUCGCUAGUAAUCGCUAAUCAGCCAUGUAGCGAUGAAUAUGUUCCUGGAUCUUGUACUCACCGCCCGUCACAUCAGGAAAGCUAGCAAUACCCGAAGUCCGCGUCUGACGCGGCCUAAGGUAAGGUUAGUGAUCAGGAUG
rnacentral:rRNA from 1 species